UACAGAGGGUGCAAGCGUUGUUCGGAAUUAUUGGGCGUAAAGGGCGCGUAGGCGGUGCGGUAAGUCACCUGUGAAAACUCUGGGCUCAACUCAGAGCCUGCAGGCGAAAACUGCCCGUGCUUUGAGUGUGGGGAGAGGUGCGUGGAAUUCCCCGGUGUAGCGGUGAAAUGCGUAGAUAUCCGGAGGAACACCGAUGGCGAAGGGCAAUCCCCCUGGGCC
rnacentral:rRNA from 1 species